CGGGUAACAGCUCACAGCCAGUUCACAGGCCCUGACGUGCCCACCGUGGCUUAUCAAGUUCAGACACCCCGGCUGGCCAGCAAGGAGCCCUAGCGGCAGGCCCUCCAGGCAGGGGGUUAUCUGCCCCAGAGGAGGCAUCUCGGAGCCCAUCCCAGGGCAGAGCCAAGCCACAGGGGCCUGACGGGUGUUACCAACACAGGACGUUCGAAAUCACCAAAACACACAGCUGGGAGAAGAGGAAGAAACAAAGCAGAACUGCUUCACACCCUCGGGCCUCAGCCUGAUGCAGGAACUGCCCCACCGGCCCCGUCCAGUCGGGGACAGACAGCACAGGACAGCCCCAGGAGGACAGCCACCUAGGCCUCACUCACACUGCACCUGAAGGGUCAAGGACAGCGUGGGGCACCUGGUAGGUGCUCCAUCAAUGCCCACCGAACGCGUGAACAGGACGGACUCGGCUGGCAUGGCCCUUCUGGCAUCCACCACUUCCUGACGAAAAACGGAACGAGUGCCUGGAAGCGCAGCAGCCACUUUGGCACCAUGAGGCAGGAAGCAUGAAGGGAGGCCCAAGAAACUUUCCGAGGUGCGAGCCAAGGCGACUGCCCACCUCCAGACUUUCAGCUAAAUCACUUCCAUUCGACGUGACAGACAGGCCCAACAGCCAGUGUGGGAAUGGCAAGCCGCACAGUCGGGGGGAUAGCGCACAUCCUCAGCAAAUAAAAGAACCGUA